rnacentral:rRNA from 1 species
UACGUAGGCAGCAAGCGUUGUUCGGAAUUAUUGGGCGUAAAGAGCUCGUAGGCGGUUUGUCGCGUCGUCCGUGAAAACUCACAGCUUAACUGUGAGCUUGCGGUCGAUACGGGCAGGCUAGAGUUCGGUAGGGGAGACUGGAAUUCCUGGUGUAGCGGUGAAAUGCGCAGAUAUCAGGAGGAACACCGGUGGCGAAGGCGGGUCUCUGGGCCGAUACUGACGCUGAGGAGCGAAAGCGUGGGGAGCGAACAGG